AGCGGAGCUGUAUGAAAGAAAGUGAAAGAUUAGAAAUUGUUAGUAUCAAACAAGUGUUGUGCGAUUAAAUACGCGACAGUUGCCGCAACAUCAAAAUGAGAUAUGUAUCCACUUUGACUGGGGACUGUGCUUAGAUUUACACAAUUAUGAAAAGAAGCUCGAGAAUAUACUUUACCCGAGAGUCCAGUCCUAUUCUGAGGAGAAAACGACUCGUGGAGUAUGUCUGAAAUAGUUUAUCGAAUCCUGCGUAUAGGAUCUUACAGCAGUUGCAAGUAAAACGCGCGGCUCCUGUAUCAUGAAUAAUAUUCUUGUUCUCUCUACAUUAUUCUGGCAUACAGUAGAUGGUGGUCAGCAUAGCAGAGAGGUGGUGUCGAGAAGGUGGUUGACACGCCUUCAUUUAUUUGAGAUGAUUGAAAGUGUAUCACGCAGAGCGUUGAGUGGCUCCAGUGGGAGCUACCACGUUCGUGGUGCUGAACUAGCGAGGAAUCGCAGAUUAAAAUCUUUAUCAGCCGUCGUUACCUUUCUUGAUGAUACACAGCAUACAUUUCAAUUAGAUAAACGAGCAAAAGGACAAAUUCUAUUGGACUUGGUGUUUCAACAUCUAGAACUUAUUGAAAAAGAUUAUUUUGGUUUACAAUACUCUGAAAAUGGAGUUAGCACAACUAUCCCUACAUCAGAUACAAUGAGAUGGUUGGAUCCCUCUAAGCCAGUGAAAAAGCAGAUAAGAAGUAAGGGUGGACAUUUCUUUUUUGCUGUAAAGUUUUAUGUAUCCGAUCCUAGUAAAUUACAAGAGGAAUAUACCAGAUAUCAAUUCUAUUUACAAAUAAGACGAGAUAUUCUUCAAGGGAAACUUCAGUUGCCAACCAGUACAGCUUGUUUAAUUGCAAGUUAUACAGUUCAAUCGGAAUUAGGAGAUUAUCAUCCAGAGGAACAUGGGCCAGGCUACCUUUCGCAAUUGCAAUUGAUACCUGGACAAACAGAAGAAAUGGAAAAGAAGAUAUCAGAGCUACAUAAGUUACACAAAGGACAACUGCCAGCUGAUGCAGAAUUUAACUUCCUAGAUCAUGCAAAGCGUUUAGAUAUGUAUGGAGUGGAAUUACAUAAAGCCAGGGAUUCAACAAAUAAGGAAAUACAGUUAGGUGUUACAUCAAUUGGUCUUGUUGUGUUUCAAAAUAGCAUAAAAAUCAAUGUGUUUUCAUGGUCAAAAAUAGUUAAAAUUUCUUUUAAAAGAAAACAGUUUUUUAUACAGCUUCGACGAGAACAGUCUGAAAACUAUGAUACAUUACUGGGUUUUAACAUGCAAACUUAUCGUAGUUCUAAAAAUCUAUGGAAAGCUUGUGUCGAACAUCAUACCUUCUUUAGACUUCACAGUCCAAAAAUGCGACCAAAACGGUUUCCCCUCACUUUGAGUAGUAGAUUUACAUAUUCAGGACGUACAGAAUUUCAAACAGUUGAAGAUGGGAAGCACAGAGCACGGAUGGAAAGGACAUUUAUACGAUCACCUAGCAAGAAAAUAGCUCAUGCUAUUACAACGGCAGCUAUUACCGAUGACAAAGGAAAAAUAAUAAUACCUCCUGGAAAAUCGUCACGAUCUUAUGACAAUAAAGUUCAAUCUCUCGGUGCUCGUGAACCUCGUCAAGCAUGGGGUGAAGGAAAUCCUAGUGACGAUGAAGGUGGUUUUUUAUCUUUGAGGGAAGAAAUAACAGGAAGCUAUACGCAAGGUGGAGCAUUUUCUCCAGCGUUAGGAUCUCGAGUAUUCAGUUAUGCGGAUGACGACACAACUGCUGAAAGAAAUAUUUAUGAUCUGCCAGAUUAUAGUGAACCUACUAGUUCGCCAGCUCCACAAAUAUUGGAAGAUGGUUUAGUAACAAUAUCUCUAACGCCAGACGAACAAGGUCGUUUUGGUUUCAAUGUAAAAGGUGGAUUAGAUUUAGAUAUGCCGAUUUUAGUAUCACGAGUAGCUCCGAAUACACCCGCUGAUCGUUGUUAUCCAAAACUGAAUGAAGGAGAUCAAGUUGUUUACAUCAACGGAAUUGACGUGAGCGGUUUACUGCACGAACGCGUAGUGAAUUUAAUACGGCAAUCACGUGAUCGCGGAUCCGGGGAACUUACAUUAACUGUCAGACCAAACGCUCUGUAUAAUGCACUAGCUGGUACCGACGAAACCUCCGAAGAAGAGCCGCCUUAUAGAUAUGUGCCUGAUGCACCUCAUGCAGCUAUUGGAUCCGAUGCGCUGGCGCAAUCUAUGUUACUGCUUGCGGAUGGUCUGGCGAGCGGUGCUCUUAUCGCGCAAUAUGAACAAUUAUACAGGAAAAAUCCAGAACUUACGUCACUCGAAUCGAAAAAGGCGGAAAACCAAUCGAAAAAUAGAUAUCGGGAUAUAUCGCCGUAUGACGUUACUCGAGUGAUUUUGAUGGGAUCUGCAAAUGGAGAUUACAUUAAUGCUAAUUACGUGAACAUGGAAAUACCUGGUUCAGGCAUUAUUAAUAGGUAUAUCGCUACGCAAGGUCCUCUGUCUUCCACCGUUGCCGACUUUUGGCAAAUGGUUUUAGAAGCCGGUAGCACGCUUGUCGUUAUGCUGACAACUCUAGUUGAACGUGGUCGUGCAAAAUGUCAUCAAUAUUGGCCGGCAUAUAACGAGACACUUACAUUAAGAAAUCUCACACUUACAUCUACUGCAGAAAAUGUCGAAGAUACAUUUAUUUUUAGAGAAUUUAUACUUCGUGAUGUUAAUACUGGAGAAGAAAGGGAUAUAACACAUAUGCAGUAUUGCAGUUGGCCUGAUCAUGGAGUGCCGAGUGAUUGGCGACAAUUUACUACGUUUACAGAGCGCGUUAGAGCAGCUCGUACUGGAAUAGUUGAACCUGCGGUUGUGCAUUGUUCUGCUGGAAUAGGACGAACCGGUGUAUUAGUUUUAAUGGAAACUGCACUGUGUUUAAUUGAAGCUAAUCAACCAGUGUAUCCAUUAGAUAUUGUACGCUCUAUGAGAGAUCAGAGAGCAAUGAUGAUACAGAAUGCUAGUCAAUAUAGAUUUGUAUGCGAAGCAGUCCAUAAAGCCUAUAGCGAAGGGAUAGCUAAGCCACUUCCAGAGUUCAGUAGGUGAAAAUAAGAAUUUGAAAUGGGCAGCAUGUUGUAAUUAUAGCCAUUUCUUCUCUUGCAUCUUGCAUCAAGCAUCAUGUCAUUAGAAGAGAGGAGAAAAAGAUAUGUUAAGAAGACAAUGUGAGAUCAACAAAAAGAAGAAUAAUAUUAAUGCAUAAAUUAAUAUAUUUACACCUCAAAUUCAAGUACAAUUACAUAAAUAAUGAAUAAGAAGUUUAUAUAUAGAUAUGAUGAUAUAAAAAGAAGUAUGCACGCAAUUUAAACAAAAUAUACACAAAUUAAAUAAAUUUUAAUAUACUAGAUAUUUAUAUAGCUAUUAUCACAUCAACUGUCAAAAUGGUAAACUUGAGCGACUUUGAAGAUAAUUUCUUUAUAUAAUGUAAGUCCGACGAUAGACUUAAUUAUGAAGAUUAUGAAAAUAAAAAAUGCGACACUUGAUAGCUUCGUAUCAAAUUCGUGCUGUGCGCUGUGCGUUAAAUUCAUCAAGAAAUCAUUAUCAUUAACAAUUGACAUGGUAAAAACUGGAUCUCAUUUGUGUAAUAAAAUGUGAAACUUGGUCCAUCCGCAAAGAUUAAUCAUACAGAAGCUAUUUAAAAGCACAAGAAGUACAAUCUUCAAUAUUGGCAGUUUAAGGCAAGCUAUUAUAUAUAGCUGACUUGUUUUAAAUAGAAAGAAUAUGGUUGUAUCCGAAAUGAAUCAAAAAACUGUGUAGAAAUCAUA